GUACACGCUGUGACUAGCAUAUCAAUAAGCGGAGGAAAAGAAACUAACAAGGAUUCCCCUAGUAACGGCGAGUGGAGCGGGAAGAGCUCAAAUUUGAAAUCUUAAAGGGUUUCCCUUUACGAAUUGUAGUUUAAAGAAGUGUUUUCUGUUGAGGUUUUGGUAAAAGUUCUUUGGAAUAGGACAUCAUAGAGGGUGAGAAUCCCGUAUUUGACCUUUACUUUCAACUUUGUGAUACACUUUCAAAGAGUCGGAUUGUUUGGGAAUGCAGUCCAAAAUGGGUGGUAAAUUUCAUCUAAAGCUAAAUAUUGGCGAGAGACCGAUAGCGAACAAGUACCGUGAGGGAAAGAUGAAAAGAACUUUGAAAAGAGAGUUAAACAGUACGUGAAAUUGUCAAAAGGGAAGCGUUUGACACCAGUGUUGUUUUUCUGAAAAUCAAUCAAAGAACUGUUUAUGCUAAGCUGUUUAGACUUUAUCAGCUAUCUGUUUAGUUUUGAGCUUUUCUUUAAUGCACUUUUCAGUUAACAAGUCAACAUCAAUUUCUUUUGCUGUAAAAAAGCUUGAGGAAGGUGGCUUGAGAUUCGUCUUAAGUGUUUAUAGCCUCUUGCCUAUGCAGUCGGAGAGAUUGAGGUCUGCAGCGUAGAUCCUUCGGGGCUAAAUGCAUUUGUGCUAAGUUAUAGCAUUUUAUAGACAACUUGUUGACUAUGAUUUGUCUUGUAGCUUACUCGCUUAUGUUAUUUUACCUACGCUUAGGAUGUUGACGCGCGUGUGUGCGUG
rnacentral:rRNA from 1 species